UUAAGUUAUUAAGGGCGCACGGUGGAUGCCUUGGCACUAGAAGCCGACGAAGGACGUUACUAACGACGAUAUGCUUUGGGGAGCUGUAAGUAAGCUUUGAUCCAGAGAUUUCCGAAUGGGGAAACCCAGCACGAGUUAUGUCGUGUUAUCGAUAUGUAAAUACAUAGCAUAUCUGAAGGCAGACGCGGAGAACUGAAACAUCUUAGUACCCGCAGGAAGAGAAAGAAAAAUCGAUUCCCUGAGUAGCGGCGAGCGAAACGGGAAGAGCCCAAACCAAUGAGCUUGCUUGUUGGGGUUGUAGGACACUCUAUACGGAGUUACAAAAGAACAGACUAGACGAAUCAUCUGGAAAGAUGAAUCAAAGAAGGUAAUAAUCCUGUAGUCGAAAGUUUGUUCACUCUUGAGUGGAUCCUGAGUACGACGGAACACGAGAAAUUCCGUCGGAAUCUGGGAGGACCAUCUCCCAAGGCUAAAUACUCUCUAGUGACCGAUAGUGAACCAGUACCGUGAGGGAAAGGUGAAAAGUACCCCGGAAGGGGAGUGAAAUAGAACUUGAAACCGUGUGCUUACAAGUAGUCAGAGCCCGUUAAUGGGUGAUGGCGUGCCUUUUGUAGAAUGAACCGGCGAGUUACGAUUUGAUGCAAGGUUAAGCAGUGAAUGUGGAGCCGUAGCGAAAGCGAGUCUGAAUAGGGCGUUGAGUAUUUGGUCGUAGACCCGAAACCAGGUGAUCUACCCAUGACCAGGUUGAAGUUCAGGUAACACUGAAUGGAGGACCGAACCGACUUACGUUGAAAAGUGAGCGGAUGAGUUGUGGGUAGCGGAGAAAUUCCAAUCGAACCUGGAGAUAGCUGGUUCUCUCCGAAAUAGCUUUAGGGCUAGCCUCAAGUGAUGAUUAUUGGAGGUAGAGCACUGUUUGGACGAGGGGCCCUUAUCGGGUUACCGAAUUCAGACAAACUCCGAAUGCCAAUCAAUUUAACUUGGGAGUCAGAACGCGGGUGAUAAGGUCCGUGUUCGAAAGGGAAACAGCCCAGACCACCAGCUAAGGUCCCAAAAUAUAUGUUAAGUGGAAAAGGAUGUGGCGUUGCCCAGACAACUAGGAUGUUGGCUUAGAAGCAGCCAUCAUUUAAAGAGUGCGUAAUAGCUCACUAGUCGAGUGACACUGCGCCGAAAAUGUACCGGGGCUAAACAUAUUACCGAAGCUGUGGAUUGUCCGUAAGGACAAUGGUAGGAGAGCGUUCUAAGGGCGUUGAAGCAUGAUCGCAAGGACAUGUGGAGCGCUUAGAAGUGAGAAUGCCGGUGUGAGUAGCGAAAGACGGGUGAGAAUCCCGUCCACCGAUUGACUAAGGUUUCCAGAGGAAGGCUCGUCCGCUCUGGGUUAGUCGGGUCCUAAGCUGAGGCCGAUAGGCGUAGGCGAUGGAUAACAGGUUGAUAUUCCUGUACCACCAUUAUUCGUUUUAAGCGAUGGGGGGACGCAGUAGGAUAGGCGAAGCGUACGAUUGGAUUGUACGUCCAAGCAGUGAGAUUGAGUGUUAGGCAAAUCCGGCACUCUUAAGAUUGAGCUGUGAUGGGGAGAGGAAAUUGUUUCCUCGAGUCGUUGAUUUCACACUGCCAAGAAAAGCCUCUAGCUAGAAUUGUGGUGCCCGUACCGCAAACCGACACAGGUAGUCAAGAUGAGAAUUCUAAGGUGAGCGAGCGAACUCUCGUUAAGGAACUCGGCAAAAUGACCCCGUAACUUCGGGAGAAGGGGUGCUCUUUAGGGUUAACGCCCAGGAGAGCCGCAGUGAAUAGGCCCAAGCGACUGUUUAUCAAAAACACAGGUCUCUGCUAAACCGUAAGGUGAUGUAUAGGGGCUGACGCCUGCCCGGUGCUGGAAGGUUAAGAGGAGUGGUUAGCUUCUGCGAAGCUACGAAUCGAAGCCCCAGUAAACGGCGGCCGUAACUAUAACGGUCCUAAGGUAGCGAAAUUCCUUGUCGGGUAAGUUCCGACCCGCACGAAAGGCGUAACGAUUUGGGCACUGUCUCAACGAGAGACUCGGUGAAAUCAUAGUACCUGUGAAGAUGCAGGUUACCCGCGACAGGACGGAAAGACCCCGUGGAGCUUUACUGUAGUCUGAUAUUGAAAUUCGGCACAGCUUGUACAGGAUAGGUAGGAGCCUGAGAUACGUGAGCGCUAGCUUACGUGGAGGCGUUGGUGGGAUACUACCCUCGCUGUGUUGGAUUUCUAACCCGCACCAUUUAUCAUGGUGGGAGACAGUGUCAGAUGGGCAGUUUGACUGGGGCGGUCGCCUCCUAAAGAGUAACGGAGGCGCUCAAAGGUUUCCUCAGAAUGGUUGGAAAUCAUUCAUAGAGUGUAAAGGCAUAAGGAAGCUUGACUGCGAGACUUACAAGUCGAGCAGGGUCGAAAGACGGACUUAGUGAUCCGGUGGUUCCGCAUGGAAGGGCCAUCGCUCAACGGAUAAAAGCUACCCCGGGGAUAACAGGCUUAUCUCCCCCAAGAGUUCACAUCGACGGGGAGGUUUGGCACCUCGAUGUCGGCUCAUCGCAUCCUGGGGCUGUAGUCGGUCCCAAGGGUUGGGCUGUUCGCCCAUUAAAGCGGUACGCGAGCUGGGUUCAGAACGUCGUGAGACAGUUCGGUCCCUAUCCGUCGUGGGCGUAGGAAAUUUGAGAGGAGCUGUCCUUAGUACGAGAGGACCGGGAUGGACAUACCUCUGGUGUACCAGUUGUCGUGCCAACGGCAUCGCUGGGUAGCUAUGUAUGGACGGGAUAAGUGCUGAAAGCAUCUAAGCAUGAAGCCCCCCUCAAGAUGAGAUUUCCCAACUUCGGUUAUAAGAUCCCUCAAAGAUGAUGAGGUUAAUAGGUUCGAGGUGGAAGCAUAGCGAUAUGUGCAGCUGACGAAUACUAAUCGAUCGAAGACUUAAUCAA
rnacentral:rRNA from 1 species